UCAGUUCGGAUUGUAGGCUGCAACUCGCCUACAUGAAGUUGGAAUCGCUAGUAAUCGCGAAUCAGAAUGUCGCGGUGAAUACGUUCCCGGGUCUUGUACACACCGCCCGUCACACCACGAGAGUUUACAACACCCGAAGUCAGUGGCCUAACCGCAAGGAGGGAGCUGCCUAAGGUGGGGUAGAUGAUUGGGGUGAAGUCGUAACAAGGUACC
rnacentral:rRNA from 1 species